rnacentral:rRNA from 1 species
AUUGAACGCUGGCGGCAGGCUUAACACAUGCAAGUCGAGCGGGGUGAUGGUGCUUGCACUAUCACUUAGCGGCGGACGGGUGAGUAAUGCUUAGGAAUCUGCCUAUUAGUGGGGGACAACAUCUCGAAAGGGAUGCGGAUACCGCAUACGUCUUACGGGAGAAAGCAGGGGAUCACUUGUGACCUUGCGCUAAUAGAUGAGCGUAAGUCGGAUUAGCUAGCUGGUGGGGUAAAGGCCUACAAAGGCGACGAUCUGUAGCGUGUCUGAGAGGAUGAUCCGCCACACUGGGAGUGAGGAACGGCCCAGAAUCCUACGGGAGGCAGCAGUGGGGAAUAAUGGACAAUGGGGGGAACCCUGAUCCAGCCAUGCCGCGUGUGUGAAGAAGGCCUUAUGGUUUUAAAGCACUUUAAGCGAGGAGGAGGCUCUUUUGGUUAAUACCCAAGAUGAGUGGACGUUACUCGCAGAAUAAGCACCGGCUAACUCUGUGCCAGCCGCCGCGGUAA